GUGCCAGCAGCCGCGGUAAUACGUAGGGUGCAAGCGUUAAUCGGAAUUACUGGGCGUAAAGCGUGCGCAGGCGGUUGUGUAAGACAGGUGUGAAAUCCCCGGGCUUAACCUGGGAAUUGCAUUUGUGACUGCACGACUAGAGUGUGUCAGAGGGGGGUGGAAUUCCACGUGUAGCAGUGAAAUGCGUAGAUAUGUGGAGGAACACCAAUGGCGAAGGCAGCCCCCUGGGAUAACACUGACGCUCAUGCACGAAAGCGUGGGGAGCAAACAGGAUUAGAUACCCUGGUAGUCC
rnacentral:rRNA from 1 species